UGUGCGCAUCUAUUUACAUUUUAUCUGCGAAAGAAAAUACACUUGCUCAGUUGCUGAAGUGGCUCUCUUUCUCGUCCUUAAGAGCACACAUAACUUCUAAAACGUAAAAAAAAACGUGUGAAAGAAAAGGGAAACUAGAUAUUUGAGAGAUAGAAAAUAGAAGAAAAGGAAAAGAAAAAGGAAACUAGAUAUUUGAGAGAUAGAAAAUAGAAGAAAAGGAAAAGGUUAAUCAAGAUUUAGUGCUGGCCACACAAUUAAGAAAGAAUAAGAACAAGAAUGUCUUUACAGAAUAGGGGAGACUAUUUUACUGCACUUAGAUUUGUGUUUUUGUUAUAAUUAACUGAUAUUGUAAUUUGUCCUUGGAUAAAAUAUCUGCAAUGUGGAGGACAACUGAACUGUGUUCUUAUAUAUUGAAGACCUACAAAGAUUUAAAAUGCAUGAACUUUAUACUACUGGAAAAUGGUUAUCAUUAAAGUAACAAACACAGAAUUUAUUUACAUGUAUAAAAUGUUAUCUGAAAGGUGAAAAGUGAAAGUAAACAGAUUCCUGGU